rnacentral:rRNA from 1 species
GACGAACCGAGCGAACGUUGUUCGGAAUCACUGGGCUUAAAGGGCGCGUAGGCGGGUGCUCAAGUCCGGGGUGAAAUCCUCCAGCUCAACUGGAGAACUGCCUCGGAUACUGGGUGUCUCGAGGGUGGUAGGGGUAUGCGGAACUAUCGGUGGAGCGGUGAAAUGCGUAGAGAUCCGGAGGAACACCGACGGCGCAGGCAGCGUCCUGGCCGCUUGCUGACACUGAGGCACGAAAGCUGGGGGAGCAAACAGG